rnacentral:lncRNA from 1 species
GACACUAAGUCCAUACUAUCACAUAAAAUCCAAAAAUAAUAUACAGCUUACAUUGAUCACAUAAAGUACGAAAUUUAAAAUAUAUUACCUUGAGAUAUACCUAUUCUCUAAACAUAUUUAAAAUAUUAAGUCAUUCAAUAACAAAAAAAUAAAAACCAAAACUGUAACCAAAAUUAUAGCUAUCUAAACUAGAAUCAAGAUAUAAAAUGCCAAAUCCAUAUUCAGAGCCACGCAUUCGAAUUGAACUCAAAAUAUUAUCGGUUUCUAAUAUUGUUAUUUGAACCAAAGCAAAAUAACAAAACCGAAACCAAGCAAAUUCAUAAAUAAUCGAACAAUUACUAUAUUUCCUGAACCGAAAACCAAAACUCACAGCUGAAUUAACCAAACCAAAAAUUAAAAAUACAAUUUGGACGCAAACCGAAAUUUAU